GACAGAGGGUGCAAACGUUGUUCGGAAUUACUGGGCGUAAAGCGCGUGUAGGCGGCAUGACAAGUCGGAUGUGAAAGCCCUGGGCUCAACCCAGGAAGUGCAUUCGAUACUGCCGUGCUAGAGUCCCGGAGAGGGUGGUGGAACUCUCGGUGUAGAGGUGAAAUUCGUAGAUAUCGAGAAGAACACCGGUGGCGAAGGCGGCCACCUGGACGGUGACUGACGCUGAGACGCGAAGGCCAGGGGAGCAAACGGG
rnacentral:rRNA from 1 species